AUGGACUUAAGGCACAUACUGGUUUUCUUUGUCCUUAUUUUAAAAGGAGUCCAGUGUGAAGUGCAGUUAUCGGAAUCUGGUGGAGAAUUAGUGCAGCCAGGAAAGACCCUGAAACUCUCCUGUGCAGUCUCUGGAUUUACCUUCAGUAGUUAUGCAAUGGGCUGGGUGCGCCAGGCUCCCGGAAAGGGGUUGGAGUGGGUUGCAACCAGUGGUAGUAGCACCUACUAUGCAGACGCUGUGAAGGGCAGGUUCACAAUCUCCAGAGACAAUGCCAAGAAUACUCUGUACCUGGAAAUGAGCAGUCUGAGAUCUGAGGACACAGCCAUGUAUUUCUGUGCAAGAUACACAGUGAGUGAAUAUUACUGUGAACUCAGACAAAAACACGCCUGUGGGGAACACAUGACCAGCAGGGGGCGCAGAGAGCACUUAGAAAUCUGGGUCACAGAAGAGCCUGCUCAGAGAAACGUGGAAGACUAG